rnacentral:tRNA from 1 species
UAGGGUGUAAAUCAAUGGUAGAGUACUUGCCUUACAUGUAUAAGAUCCUGGGUUUGAUCCCCAGCACUACAA